rnacentral:rRNA from 1 species
UACGUAGGGUGCAAGCGUUGUCCGGAAUUAUUGGGCGUAAAGAGCUCGUAGGCGGUCUGUCGCGUCGGAUGUGAAAAUCCAGGGCUCAACCCUGGACCUGCAUUCGAUACGGGCAGACUAGAGUUCGGCAGGGGAGACUGGAAUUCCUGGUGUAGCGGUGAAAUGCGCAGAUAUCAGGAGGAACACCAAUGGCGAAGGCAGCUCUCUGGGACGGUACUGACGCUGAGACGCGAAAGCGUGGGGAGCGAACAGG